rnacentral:misc_RNA from 1 species
GUGAAUCAUCAAAUUUUUGAACGCAAAUUGCGCCUUUUUCGGAAGGCAUGUCUGUUUGAGGGCACCAUUUAACAAAUAAUGUGCAGCGUUUUUUGUUGCACACGUUGAUGAGCUUUCCAAGAAUUCUAAAUUUUUGGUGGCGCAUAAUGAACAGCGUGAAAGUUUUUUUAAUUUGAGUUUAAUUAAAUUCUUUCUUUGGUUGUUGAAAAAAAUAAAU